UUCACAUUUAAUGUGAACACCCCUAAGCCUAACUUUUCUGUUAAUUCCCUUCCCGUUCGAACCAAAACCAGAGAGCGAUAGCAAAGCUACUCCGAUCUCCCUAUUCCCGACCACAUCCCAUACUCCUCUCUCUCUCUCUCUCUCUCUCUCUCUCUCGUUUUUCAUCCUUCUUCUUUUUCUCCUCCUCAUUCCACCAUUGAAGGGGCCGAAUUCAAAGAGAAAGACCCUGUUCAUCUUCUUCGCUAGCUGCAACCGAACAGCAUCGGCGGCACCCCUUUAUCUUCGGCUAUUUUCUCCCUUUUGUCCCUCUCUCUCCUACUCCGUUUUUCAUUCUUUUUUUUCAUUUCUUCCUAAUCUCGCUUUCCUCUUGGUCUCACCCACCCUAUUCGAAUGUUAGGAGAUCACCGCUGUUGCUGUAACUUCCAGCAACGGUGAUCUACUCUCUCUUCUACUUCUCUCUUCUCCUAUCUCCUUCUCUCUCCCCCUUCCUUCCCGAUUCGCUACUAUUUCACCAUUUUCCCUUUUAUUUUAUUUUAUUUUUUUGUUUGUUUCAGUCAUUGUUCGUUUUCUUGACGAGAAUAGAGAACUAGUAGCGGCAGUCCUCCAGUUUUUUGUUCUCGUUCAUCGGCCAAGGAGAAAGGGCGAUACCCGAGAAGCAUUUCGGCUCCCCCAAUCCUCUGUUAUCUAAGUUGGACUGAAAGUUUGCAGCAGCGUUCAUCUUCUCUGCAUCUUCCGUCAACCUCUCUGUGUUCGGUCAUCUUCAUCCCAUCAGAGCAGAGUUUAGAUAACAUUCGAACGCCGGCUCUUGCAUCCACAAAUAUCCCAGUUGCAAAUCCCCCGAGGAUCUCCUCUCUUUGACUGCCAACCAUCAGAGAUUACAGCAGACGUGGUGGCAGUACCAUGGUCUUACAUGAUCUUAAUGGGAAAGAAUCAAGCUCUUGGUCACAAAUUCAAUAUCCACCGAUUCAGCACCAAUUUCGAGGAUAGAAUUACAAUGAGCCAAAAUGGUUUGGGCUAAGCCUUUUGAAAUCAAUCUGGAGAGGAAGAGAGGCCAAAUUUGCUAGUUAAUACGAACUUGCUAUCUCCUCCAUUGAUUGACAAGGAGUUCACAGAGGGUUCAGUUCUGUCAUUGAUUAUGGGUUUUGUGGUUGAAUGAUUCAAUAUGAUGUUAUAUAGCUGUGAUAAUCUCUCUUUAUCUUCUUGGAUGCUCCAUAAACAAAUAGUUUUUGUGCUUCUUUGACUCUUUAAAUAAGGUUUGUUGUGACUAAUUGCACAAUUUGUUUUA